rnacentral:lncRNA from 1 species
UUGGAAGAUGACUGUGCUUUUCAUCAUGUCUUUAUUGCUGUCUAACACAUUGCAGAAUUAUCAGAUUACGUGUUAACUUCCUAUGUUUUAUAACUAAAUUGAAAGCUCCAUAAGAACAAAAGCUUUUCAUACUUUGCUUAUUGCUAUUUAUAGAGCCUACAAUCAUUGCUGAUGUAGGUACUUAUAGAUACUAGUGGAAUAAAUGUGUGACUCAUGAAUGAAUAUAAAUUACAUCAAAGGUAGCUGCUAUUACUGAAGUAAGGGACAAGAAGGAUAAGGAGCACCUGGAAUACAUUCAUCCUCACAAGACACAGCUGUUACACAACUUUCUGAGAACUGGAAAAAAUACAAAAUAGCAAUAUGGAUUUUCAAAUACUUUGUUGACACUUCUGUUAAACACACUUCUUAGUUACAAGUCAAAUAGAUUUCAUCCCUGUCCUUCAGAACUAGUUUAAAAACAUGGAUAACUCAGUAUCCAAGGUGAAUGGGAAAGCUUUCCAAAAUAUUCAUUCCUGAUCUCUAAUUGCCAAAGCCAGGCGCAGUAACCAGUUACUUACAAAUUUUGUAUUUGAUAGUUACAGUUUAGGCAACAAUAUUAAUGACACCAAAAGUAGAAAUUCCAUGCAUAAUUAUUUUAAAUAGAAGAGAUAGCAAGAUGUUAGUAAUUUAGAAGAAUGAAAUAACUCUACAUAAUGAUAAUGUAAAAAUACUUAUUAGAAGUAGGAAUUAUAUCAUUAAAUAGAGUCAGAUAUCUGUGCAAGAGUUACUGAAGCCACCUUGAAUUCAUACACUAACUUUCAAUAUCAGAAUGUUUAAAAAUCAUUUGAAAUAGAAGGGACCCAACUUUUCCAUUUUAAAGACGUAAAAAUCUCCCAGGAAUGUGAAUGGUCAGUAAUAUCAUUGGGAAAAAUCAUAUUACAAUAAUGCAAUAGCUUUAUGAAUUUCUAUAAAUUUAAAGUGACUGUCAUAAAUUAUUCCCUGACUUCAGAUUAUAAUAUCAAGCUACAGUCACCAAACCAGUAUGGUACUGACACAUAAAACAGAACUAUAGAUUAAUGGAACAGGAUAGAAAGUGCAAAAAUAAACCCACAUACCUAUGGUCAAUUAAUCUAUGACAAGGAAGACAAGAAUAUACAGUGGAAAAAAUGACAGUGUCUUCAAUAAGUGGUAUAGGGAAAACUGGAUGGCUACAUGUAAAAGAAUGAAGUUAGAGCUUUCUAUAACACCAUACACAAAAAUGAACUCAAAAUGGAUUAAAUACUUGGAUGUAAGACUGGAUACUAUAAAACUCUUAGAGGGAAACAUACUCAGAACAUUGUCAAAAGUUGCAACAAUAUCAUUUCCAGUGAUUGACCUGUUCAGUUGACCUAUUUCUUCUUGAUUCAUUUUUGGCAGGCUGUAAGUCUCUAGAAAGUUGUUCAUUUCUUCUAGGUUGUCAAAUUUGUCGGCAUAGAAAUGAAAUUGAAUAUAUCAUAAAAACACUCCCUACAAAUAAAAGUCAAGGACCAGAUGGUUUCACAGGUGAAUUCUACCAAACAUACAAAGAGGAACUUAUACCCAUCCUCCUUAAACUUUUUCAAAAGGUUGAAGAAGGAAUGCUCCCAAAGACAUUCUAUGAUGCCACCAUCACCCUAAUUCCAAAACCAGA